rnacentral:lncRNA from 7 species
AACAUCUGAAUGCAUGUAUAUUCUUGGAAACCUGUUUUACCACAAACAUUUGAACCUGAAAUGCCAGAUUCAUAACCCAACAAACUGAUUUGGUGAAUCCCUUAAACUGCAGCAGCAAUGAUGGCUCCUCCUUGGCAGAAACAUGCUGAGAAGCAGUUGGGAAUCCCCUGCUCUGGAGCUGCAGCCUGAGGAACCUCAGCGUGUAAGAAGCGUCUCUGAGGCACUCACAUGGUGAUGGUUAUACAUCUCCUGCUUACCCCAACUUAGUGAAAGCUGUCUUCAAGCAAAUAAGACUGGCAGCAAGGCUGGGAGUGCAAUCACCUGCUGGCAUAAUCCCUGGACUCUUCUUAAAGGAAUUCUAAAAAGGGAAACUCAGGAAUGCCUACCUGACUGUCCAGAGAACUGCCAUCCAGAGGAGCAUCCUACAGCAGCACAAGCAUUUCAUCUUCUGGAUUUGUGGAGACAUGUGGGAUUUGUUCAUGCUGAAGGCAGGAGGAAGUCAAGGGAGAAAAAAAGAAUUCUGGGAGGAAACUUGGUAAAACCGAAGAUCCAAAGUGAAACAUCAGGAAACAUCACCAAAAUGAAGCCCGUUGGAUGUUUGCAGCUGUUUCUUUAGUCCUGAUUAACAGGGAUUUUCUGAGAAGAGCUGCACAAGUGCAGUCCCCAUUCAACGUACAGAUUUUCCAGAGUGAUCUCCAAGUUGUAAUGGACAACCUCUUUCCUGCCAGCAGAGCCCAGAGAGGAAUAAACCAAGACCACCAGCUAAGUCAUUGUGUAAUGUGCUGUGGAUAUGAGCAUCGAAUGCCCUCAGUGGCAAUGACUCAGGACCAAAUCAUCCUUUUGCGGGAAUUACCUACGAAGGAAACUGGACGCUCCAUGGCAUCUGUGUCAUCCUUCCCUCCAGAUGGUGCCUCAAAAUCUGUUCUGAAAUGGCAUGUGCAAAGCAGACCCAGAGUGCCUAUCAUUCAGCCCUCUGAUGGCAACUCUCAGACAACUCGGGGACAGACAGAACACAAAACCAGAAAUAAGGACUUGCAACCGUGGCUGAAGAUGCCCAGAGAGUCGUGUAUGUAACAGCCAGCGAGAGGCAGAUGACAGCAACAAGAAAUUUCACAGCUCCAAAGAGUGAACGUACCACGGAUUAGUACCGGAGACAGAAAUACUUCUAUGAAAACCAUGAAGGAAGUUCCGGAAUCUAGAGUAACUCUCGGAUGCACAGAACUGGAGACUUAAAAGAUCCUCAGUUCCCCCAGGACCUGAGCAUGUAGAAACGUGGGGGCCUGGCUGUCCUUCUGGUCUGCACGCGUGGCCUCAAGCCCGAAUCCCUACAACAGCAUCUCCACUGACAGCAAAGUGCUUCUUCGCCCUUUACCACUGAACUGCUGUGGCUUGAUUGUGUGAAACUGAGUUUCAGGAUGCAAGAUACUGUUCAGAUAGUUCUGCAAUACAUUCUUCAGACCCAGCAACUUUGGCAGGCCCGUGGAUGAUGGAAUAACCAGAUCUCUGCGGCCACCCCUGAAAAACAGAUUCUUUCUUCUGGAUUCCCUGGGAUUCUCUCAGCAGCCAGCCUUGCUCAGAAGUCAGCGCGGACAGUAACAGCCCUUCACCAAUGAGCCACAGUGGAACCUUUGGGGAAGGCUCCUCACGGUGCUCUGUCAUCUGCUGACAAAGUGGUGCCAGGACCAGAACUUCACAAUGAACUCUGCAGAGAAAAAUCCACAGCAGAUGAAGGAAUCUCGAAGGUAUGGACCUGCAGUAAAACUGCUGUAAGAAAUGAUUUAGUUUAUCUUUAUUCACCUCUGUAAAGGCUGAAGGCUGAGCCUUGUGGCAGGCUGUGAUAUCACCUUCUUAGUCGAGUUAUUUGUUACUGUUUUUUAUGUUUUCUGGUAUU